rnacentral:rRNA from 1 species
UACAUGGGGUGCAAACGUUGCUCGGAAUUAUUGGGCGUAAAGCGCACGUAGGCGGUUUGUUAAGUCGGAUGUGAAAUCCCUCGGCUCAACUGAGGAAGUGCAUCCGAAACUGGCAAGCUUGAGUACGAAAGAGGGUCGCGGAAUUCCCGGUGUAGAGGUGAAAUUCGUAGAUAUCGGGAGGAACACCGGUGGCGAAGGCGGCGACCUGGGUCGAUACUGACGCUGAGGUGCGAAAGCGUGGGGAGCGAACAGG